rnacentral:lncRNA from 1 species
UGACAGGGCCUCACUCUGUCACUCAGGCUGGAGUGAAGUGGUGCAAUCACAGUUCACUGAAACCUUGAACUCCUGGGUACAAGGAAUCCUCCUGUCUGGAACUACAGGCACAAGAUGAUUUUUCACCUAGUGGAGUCAUUGAACAGUGGUCUUCAAAUUGGGAUUAUUUCCAAGAAUAGAUUAAAAUGCCAUGAAAAAGAAAAAAUUAUAGAAAAGCAAAAAGAGCUGAAUGCAGUGAAUGAACAUCUGUGAAUGAAGUUGAGAAGGUAUAUGUGGGGCAGACUAGAAUUGCAGUGCACAGAUACAAGAAUGUUGCCUGCUUUGGAGCCAAGACUGCCUUCCGGAUAAAGGGCCCACAGAGAGCUGAGAGCUGUGUAAUACCUCAAAGACUGAAGAAAAGAGUUAGACAGCCAUCUUUCCUUAGAGGAUUUUGCUGCAGACAGCUUGAACUACCAGAAGGUUAUAUACUGACCAUGGGUAGAGUAAGGAAGAAAUACAUCCUUCGGAAAGGACAAUGAAGAUCUUUACAGCAGGGAGGUGAGGACAAAGUGAUUCUCCCUUCUGGAGGAUGCAGCAAAGUGCUGCCUGCCAUCUUGGAAGCACAGAGUAGCCUUCACCACACUCUAAUCCCAUCAGAGCCUUGAUCUUGGACUUGCCAGCCUUCAGAACAGUCUUGCCUCAUCACUGCCAUGACAGGGGGGUCCAAUGUGAGGAUUCUGGUGUCUAUGCCAAGCAUCUCUUUUCCAACGUAGAUCUGAUUUCUUAACAUAGCCAACAGCAAGUCAACAUCAGCUUUGCAGAGAAAAGCAGGGAUGCGUGUGCACAAAGAAAAGGCCAUGUGAGGACAUAGCAAGAGGGAAGCUGUCCGCAAGCCAAGGAAAAAGGCCUCAGGAGAAACCAAAUCUGCCAAUACAUUGAUCUUGGACUUCCAGCAUUCAGAAAUGUGAGAAAAUAAAUAUCUGCUGUUUAAGCCACCAGUAUAUUAUAUUUGUUAUGGUAGCCUUAGCAAAGUAAGAUAGUUUGUGUUACUGCCUUCUUUUUGCAGAUAAAGCAAUUAUAUCUGAUAGGUAUUAUGUAACCAUAUUAGUCCCAUAGACAGUUGUUUUUGGAUAAACAUAGAAAUUGACCCUUCUGUUGUUAAAGCUUCAAACUUGUAUUUGCUUUAUCUGAGUUCCUUCCUCAGGAAAGGAUAUUCAGUUCUCUCAAAAAAGUAUCGAAGAACUGAAAUUCACUAGAUCACCAUACCAGAUAACUCCUUGCCCCUCCCUAGUUCCUGAUUUCUUAAACAUUGUUACAUUUCUUCCCUGCUGUAUAAAACCCUAGUUUUAAUCAGUCAGAGAGAUGAAUUUGAGACUGAACUCCCAUCUCCUUGCUGCGGCACCCGAUUAAAGCCUUCUCCCUUGGCAAUAUUUGUCUUCUCAGUGAUUGGCUUUCUGUGCAGCAAGCAGCAGGACCUAGACCAAACCCCUGGUAUUGUGGUAACAAACAACACACAUGCACACACAUAUACAUGCAAAUGACUGAUAAAAGAGAUAAAAGAAAGGAAAAGGAAAGCAGAAGGAGGAAGAUCAUCCAUGAAUCCAUUGAGAAUAGACACUGAUGAUCUAUUUGGUUUCUUUCUUUACCUAAUUCUUUAUCAUUAUAGCUUUUGUAUAUAAUGCUAGCUUUCUACCACAUCAUGUUAGGUUAUUUACCCAUUAUGUGAUCUUUCUUUUAAAUGUUUCUAUUUCUUUUCAUUAAAUGAAAUAAUUGUUAAAGGGGUGACUUCAAUUAACUUCUAGGCCUUCUAUAUAGUGUUGCAAAGGCCCAUAUUCUACAUCUAGGUUAAAUUUUCCUGUCUUUUGUUAUUUAAUUAUCUAGCAUAUGAGCAACAAAUAGGGAUCUGAAAGUGACUAUCUGUGUUGGGUUAUCCUUGGAAAAAUAACAUGACAAACAAAGGUAGAUUAGCCCACUGGUAACAAAAUUCAAAUGAGACAACUAUCCUGUUCCCCAAAUCAAAUAUUUCUCAAAAGCAAUCAAUGAUUAAUUAAAAGUAGUG